UCCAACAUAUUUGCAAAAAGAUUUCAAUACUAAAUUCGUGAAAGUGUACUUGGUUAUAGAAAGAAACAAAUAAACGUCAUCUGAAUGUUUUUGUGUUUUUUGGUUUCUUUAUUACGUGAAGCAUUACCCAACAUUGACAUGUUUACAUUCUUCAAAACUUUAUAAUAUUUCAUCAAUUGUUAUUAAUAUUAAAUGCUGUUUCAUGUGACCCAAUUACCAUAUGCGUUCUAAAAGAAAUUUUUGCAUACGUAUGUCAAAUCCGUCAAAUCGUUGAACGGAGUGGUUGCAAGACGGCGCGCUUGGAUGAGAUACUUUGCUCAAGACGUUUUUGCUUUCCGUACUGUCAAUCAAAUCUUGUAAACGUUGUCCUGCUACUCAAACGUAAGACAAAUAACAUCAUCGAGAAAAUGAACAGCAACAUGAAAUUACUGCUACUGCUGUUUGUGUUGGACAGAACUUCGAGUCAGGUGAAUGGUUGGGAGUGUGUACAUGGAAAUUGUUACUAUUUCAGUAAUCACACAACCACC